rnacentral:rRNA from 2 species
CUGAUAGUAGACUUAUGCAGAGAUGCAUUGGUGCCUUCGGGAACUCUGAGACAGGUGCUGCAUGGCUGUCGUCAGCUCGUGUUGUGAAAUGUUGGGUUAAGUCCCGCAACGAGCGCAACCCUUAUCCUUGUUUGCCAGCACUUCGGGUGGGAACUCCAGGGAGACUGGCGGUGAUAAACCGGAAGAAGGGGGGGACGACGUCAAGUCAUCAUGGCCCUUACGAGUAGGGCUACACACGUGCUACAAUGGCGCAUACAGAGGGCGGCCAACUUGCGAGAGUGAGCGAAUCCCAAAAAGUGCGUCCUAAUCCGGAUUGGAGUCUGCAACUCCACUCCAUGAAGUCCGAAUCCCUAGUAAUCCUAAAUCAAAAUGCUACGGUGAAUACCUUCCCGGGUCUUGAACACCCCGAA